rnacentral:lncRNA from 1 species
CUCCUCCCUCCGCCGCCGAGUCCGCCGCGGCCCAGUCCCUCCCCUCGCCGCCCCACGCCAUUCAGCUCUUCAGCCAAGUUUCUUAACCCUUUUCUCCCCCUCCCUCCCAUUGUCACCCGGUCAGGAGGAAGCCGCGCGGAUCCGGGCGGCUCACAGGAGCUGCGGAACCCCCUCUGUUUCGUGGAUUUCCUUCUCGCCUGCUCUCCGGGUGUCCCAGACGGGGCUGCAAGACCCGGAGGCAGCGAGAGGACCGCGUCCCCGAGAGAGGGGCUGCACGGCGCGCCCGGGCCGUCCCCCGGGCUCCCAGCUCUGUCCAGCCGCCCGCGACCGCUGCAGGCGCCUGGACAGCUCCUCCUGGGGACCGGGGAAAGCGCUCUUGGGACCCAGGCCGAAUGCUCCCGUUUGGGCACAGCCUGGGGGCCGGGGCGCCCCAGACGCUCCAGGGUCCCCGCCUGCCUUAAGCGUCUACCUCCUCCCCUUCACCCCACAACACGCGCUCUCUGGGCCCCCUUUCACCCACCCACCCCCAAUUUCUAUCUCCUUGUAAUCUGUGUGUCCUGCUUUAAUGUUGGGGGGCACGGGCGCGAACUCUGGGUCACUUUGACCCCACGCCCAGCACGUAGUAGGCGCCCAGCACUCGUGUGGAGCGACUCUGGGAGGAAAACUAGGAAGGAGACCUGAGGAGCGCCCCGCUCAGCUCCCUGGACAGACGUAGGACCCAGGAGCAGGGUUAAUCCUCGGCUGCUUUGUCACUGCGAAGUCUCCAGCGGAGUCUGUCAGCCAAUCUGCAUCAUCCCCGGGAAGGAUCUGACCCAACAAGACAAGGGAAAAGGAGCAGGGCUGCUACUUCUUCAGCAGCUCUCCUCGGUUCGGUCUCCGAAUAAGAAAUAACAAUUACAUCACGAGGCCGGGGCGGCAGCGCGGUGGAGCCUCUCGGUUUCCUGCAGCCUAAUCUCACUGAACCCGCCUCUAAAUUGGGGGGGCCACAGAUUGGUGAAACGAGAAAGUGGAAGGAGGAGAGAGUCAUACGAAACCAUAAUUUCCCCUUAUCCUUGUAUUUGCUGUUUGAAAAAUCGUAUCCUCAACGCUCCCCAGACAUCUCACUAGAACUAUUAACACCCCCUCAACACCUCCCCAGAUGUCAGGUUUCUUUUUGACUUGAGCAUCUAGCAUUUAGUAAUUCGCCAUGAAAAAAAUUACCAGGGGAAGCGAGUGUUGUUGCUGAAAUUGUUUUUGCUUGACACAAAAAAGCUAAAGUACAGCUUAGUCUCACCCGAAAUUCUGAAACGGCAUGCCCGUGUUAAAACACUUAUUACAUAAGACAAAUGAGCCGAUGAGGCACUCCAUUCUUAUAUGUAGGUUUUCAUAUCCUGAAGAAUUUGAUAGCAUUUGGAAAUGAAGUUGCUAAUGCGCUUAAAAAACAAAAACUAUCCAAGUCAUGAAACUGUAUUCUGUGCCUGUUAUGUAAUGGCUGUAUUGUGUAUUGCAAAUUUCACUUAACCUUUAAACAAUAUGAAUGAGAGUUUUAGAAUACUGUCACAGUCUUGAAAGUGAAAGCAAUUUUUCAAAUUAAUGCUUAAUAAAUUCAGCACCCAGCACAGUGCCGGGCACAUAGUGCCAAUGUUUUCCUUAGUGGCAAUGGCACAUUUUAAAACAAUUAUUUUUCAUCACCCUAGUGAUUGAACUAUGCAAUCUGUUGCCAUUUUAUAUAGUUAAACCUCAUAUAAUAUAAUACCAUAUUAUUUGCAUAUACCACAAUUCAAAAUCUGCUCUAGGCAAAAUAAAGUCUGCUGUUUUUUAGUGCAUCAUUUAUUCAGAAUUGAUACAAAGCAAACCGUUUCAAUUCAAUGAUGACCAGCAUAAUUGGAGCUUGGCCCUUAGUGGGGGGUCAAACUUUUUUUAUGAAAAUUAUUUUUAACCAUUAUACAGAUUUUUCUACAAUGUAUUGCAAAUGUUUCUCUUAAGCAGUUUGUUGAACGUCAUUUAGCAUUUUCUUGAUAAUUCAAUGUUAAUUUUAUUAAAAGUAAUUAUUGUAGUAGGUUGUAGCGGAUUCAGUAAAUAUAUCCAGUUCCUAUUCUAUAUUCUUUCUAGGUGUUAGGAAUGCUCCCAGGAGGUACAAAAGCUAUCAGUCGCUGCACCGAAGGACUCUAGGAUGCUAUGACUUAGUGAUUAUCUCUGCCUUUUGUAAUUUCUCUCUCUCCCCCUUCACUAACUGACAAUCUAUUGUCCUUACUGUUACUAGCAUAGCUGCCACUAACAUUCUCCUCAUCUUCUGAUGGGUAACUUCCAGUCUAGUGCGGACUGGGAAUCCAGAUAGCCUCACUUGUCACAAUUCUGUCUAAAGUAAACUUAAUAGGUUCUGGGUAAGGGACUAAUGGGCUCACCAAGGAGUAGGGCGCACACACACCUUAGUGCAUAGACUUUGGGAAAGAUAUUUGGACUACUCAAGUCUAUCUUUUAAAUACAUUCCUCUUACUUCUUAACCAGGUUUUGGACCAUGGAGAUUGCCCAGCAAGCCGAGAAUAUUCCAGCCCUCCAACAUUGUUGUUAAAAAGUCCACUGCUGUAUGUUAGGUGACUUCCCAAAGCUGCUCACUACUUCUUCUUAUUCUGUUUUCUCAACCCCACAAAAAUCCAAUCACUGAAAUCCUGAACUCUUUUGAUAGUGGCAUGAGUGUUAAGUAAAUUGCACACCUCUUGUGGAAUUCAUUUUCACUUAAUCAUGCUAAUUAUGUGGAGACUUGUUUGUUGUUGUUCUUUGUUUUUUUAAGUAAAUCAAUACCUAAAUUUCCUGGCUAACAGAGUCAUUGCAAGGAUACUAGGGCAUUAUAUGUAAUAUAAGAAUGCCUAUUUGGUAAUUUGUACUUUGAAGUCAAGUCUCAUUUGAAUCAUUUGUGAUGUGAAAACAAUGCUGUUGGGUUUAUAUACUUAAACACCUAAUUAUUGUUUUACGUCCAGGGUUCCUGUGGGAUCACAUGCCUUUAGUUCAGUCUCAGUAUACCUCUCCGCCACAAAGAUGUAGUCUGGGUGUGUUCUCUAGCCUUUGGUUCUGUAGCCUUUGGUGUGUUCUCUAAAUCUCUCCUCUAUAGCAUUUUCAAAAACCGUUUUGUUAGUGGGUAUUUGCUUGUCCGUAUCCCACUGUAGAAUGCAAGCAGUACAGGCACAGGGUCCAUAUCCCUCUCAUUCACAUUUGGGGACUUCCAGC